rnacentral:lncRNA from 1 species
CUCAGAACAAAGCAGACUCCAUUUUGCUAUCUUCAGGAUAACAAAAACACAUAAUUUCCUUGAUUUCUUCUUACUUUCUGUAACUAGCCACUUGCUUGAGCUGAGGAAUGUAUUACAUAAACAAACCAAGAUAAGAAAUGAAGCAAGGGGGAUGGAACGCUCUGUCUAAAAUGUUAAUGGAAUAGAUGCAUAUCUAAACACAGACACUAAUGACAGAGAAGACUAAGUAAUUAAUUUUAC